AGCAGCCGCGGUAAUUCCAGCUCCAAUAGCGCAUAUUAAAGUUGUUGCAGUUAAAAAGCUCGUAGUUGAAUUUCGGGAUCAAUAUGUCGGUCGUGCCUUCGGUACGUACUGGUAUCAUUGGUCUCUCCUUUCUGACGAACCAUGAUGUCAUUAAUUUGGUGUUAUGGGGAGUUAGGACUGUUACUUUGAAAAAAUUAGAGUGUUUAAAGCAGGCUUUAGCUUGAAUACAUUAGCAUGGAAUAAUGAAAUAGGACGUUCGAACCUAUUUUGUUGGUUUCUAGGAUCAACGUAAUGAUUAAUAGGGAUAGUUGGGGGCAUUAGUAUUCAAUUGUCAGAGGUGAAAUUCUUGGAUUUAUUGAAGACUAACUACUGCGAAAGCAUUUGCCAAGGAUGUUUUCACUAAUCAAGAACAAAAGUUAGGGGAUCGAAGACGAUCAGAUACCGUCGUAGUCUUAACCAUAAACUAUGCCGACUAGGGAUCGGAUGAUGUUAAUUUUUUAAUGACUCAUUCGGCGCCUUACG
rnacentral:rRNA from 1 species